UUUGACUUGGUCUCAACAAAACAAAGGAUCA
rnacentral:piRNA from 1 species